CCCAGACUCUGCAACACCACUAAGCAAGGGGCAACACAAGGAAGUGACACCACGAAGACCAAGGAGCUCACCAAACAGGUCUUGGGAAGAACCAUUCGACAAAUAAAACAGUUGCGAUGGGGCAUCAAAGUGUGGUUCCGGCUGACCGAAAGAAAAUAUGUGGUUCCACUAAUGUUCCCCUGUGAGGCAAACAUUGUGUGCAGCCCUGCGCUAACAACCUAAUGCCACAUGUUAUCAAAAGAUUAUCUUUGAUGACAGUAUCUGGCCUGGGUUGACAGAAAAUAAGGAUGAAGAGGAUGAUGAAGCGUACCCUAUCCAAAUGAGGUGUCGCAUUGUGGGAUACCUCUGGCUAUUUGUUGAGACUGGUAUUGUCACAUCUGCCUAUUAUUGUCCUUUUUCUAUCCCAAGUAUUGUGCACCUGGGCUCCAAAAGGCUAGUUCGAUAGUUAUUGUGCUUGCGGAAAGUAAAAUAACUUGUCAUUCAAUUUCUUAUUUUACUUUGAUUUCCACAAUGUGGAAAAGUAACAAGCUGUUUGAACUUUCAAAAAUGUCUACACAUGUGACUAUCUCACAACAUACAUCCUUCUCCCUGUGGAUCUCCAGCUUAUUAGCUUUCAGUUGAUCUCGGAUUUCUCUCACUCACAAUAGAGAGAGACAUGGUCCUCUUGCAUAAGUAUAAUUUAGUUCUAAGGAUGAACAAGGGUUUAGUUAUUUAUUAGAGGGAAUAUGUCUAAAACAUGUUAUGGGGACUAGGGUAUAAUUAUUUCAAUGAACAAUUUAGAGCCUGUUAGUGUUCAAUGAAAAACUGUCAAACAAGACUGCUUUGAGCAAGCCUACUAUUUUUGUUUCAUGUCCUCAGUAGGGGCCUUUCAGUAAUUCACCUUUACUGCUCAGCAUUAUUGCAAUACCCAUACAGUACAGAAGUCAUUUUAAUAUUUUCUUCUCUUUUCGCAUCAACGAUACUCAUGUAACUCUUUAAGUUCUGGAAGGGAUGGGAGAUCCUCACAGGAGAUUUGGAGAUUGUGUGUGUGAAGAUCUCCCGAGGUCGUCUCCUUGUUUCCAACCAAUCCGUCUGCCAGGGCACUACACUGAAUUUGGGGAGUCCUGCGUCGCACUUGCAUAGCCACUAGUGACACAGGCUUUGGGCUAGUCUACUGUUGCCACACUCAAGCACUUCUACUUGCCUCUAUCCUGACUAUGUAGUUUGGUUUUGUGUUCAUAGAUAGCGAGAGAGAGAUCAUUGGGAGAUCUUUCCAACAAUCUAUAUUCAAGUUCAACUUUGAUAUAAUCAUGAACAUCAUGGUUUAGAAUUUUUUUCGUGGGCAAACAAAUAAUCCUGGAAUGUGUUUUAGAGGGGCAGUCAACAGUUUAAACAGUGUUCUCCCCGUUUUGGUAAAAAGAUGAGGGAGGGCUCGGGAGUUAUAUAACCCCUUGCCAGUACGUAGACCAAGCUAUGCAUGCAAGGACUGGCCAUCAAUGAUAUCCAAAUUUAACAAUGUUUUGAAGCUAUAUAGUGUUUCUUUACAUUUACUUUGUUUAUAAGAAUUUGAGUAACACAACCUUUUUGGAUUCAGAUGGGGGUAAGAUAGUAGUUGAAUUAAUGAAGCAUUUAUUGUUAGUCUUUAAGAAUCCAUUGGUACAUAAUUAAUGUUCUCAAAAAUGUAUGCAGCAACUGCAGACUGGCCAUUUAAGUCAGUAAAAUUGCAUAAUGUACCCUUAUCACUUAUGGCAUUCUGUGCCAUCAGCUUUUUGCUCCUGUGAAUUAUAUUAUUUUUGUUUAAAUGGGUAAAUAAUUGAACCGUGCACCAGGGGUACUUGUGACUGAUUGCUGAAAUAAAGAGCCUGUUGGAGUAUUUCAUUUAUUAAUAUGAUUGCAGUGGGUGUUGGACAUAUAGAUCACGUCCGUGUGACUCUGAAGGGGAUAGGGGGUCAACCACUGACAGAAGCGCUGUCAUUUCUAGCUCAGAGUGGGCAUUCAAACUUGGGGACUAUAAGUCCUCUUUCCGAGGCCUCAUAGGUCAUCACUUCACUCUCCCAGUCAAUGUUUGGGUCUAGAAGGUCCUAGAAAGGAAAACAUCUUAGAUAUACUGUAGAUGUCUUUGGCAGCAAUAGUAUAUUUUUUGUAGGCACUAACUCUGCCACGGUUGUUGGACAAAGCCUGUAGGAAAAUUUGGCUUUUUGGAUAAUGACCUAAAAUAAGGUCUAUGGUAA
ensembl:lncRNA